UACGGAGGGUGCGAGCGUUGUCCGGAAUCACUGGGCGUAAAGGGCGCGUAGGUGGCCUGUGGAAGUCUGCGGUGAAAGCCCGGCGCUCAACGCCGGGUCGGCCGUGGAUACUCUCGGGCUUGAGCUUACUAGAGGCAGAUGGAAUUCCGGGUGUAGCGGUGGAAUGCGUAGAGAUCAGGAAGAACAUCGGUGGCGAAGGCGCUCUGCUGGACCAUAACUGACACUCAGGGACGAAAGCUAGGGGAGCGAAUGGG
rnacentral:rRNA from 1 species